GACGAACGCUGGCGGCGUGCUUAACACAUGCAAGUCGAACGAGUGGGAACGGGUGAGUAACGCGUGGGUAACCUCCCAUCAGAGGGGAUAACACUUGGAAACAGGUGCUAAACCGAUAUUGAUGUAUGGACCCGCGGUGCAUUAGCUAGUUGGUGAGGUAACGGCUCACCAAGGCCACGAUGCAUAGCCGACCUGAGAGGGUGAUCGGCCACACUGGGACUGAGACACGGCCCAGACUCCUACGGGAGGCAGCAGUAGGGAAUCUUGCGCAAUGGACGAAAGUCUGACCGAGCAACGCCGCGUGAGUGAAGAAGGUCUUCGGAGCGUAAAGCUCUGUUGUUAGAGAAGCGGUAUCUAACCAGAAAGCCACGGCUAACUACGUGCCAGCAGCCGCGGUAAUAC
rnacentral:rRNA from 1 species